AGUGAUGCUGACAGAUUCUGAGGUGCAGGCUUGGUCACAUGAAAAGUUUAAGAAAAAAGGAAAAUAUAAAAAAUAAAAUAAUGUGUCAAAAAAGUCGGGUUACAAAGACAAAACCUCUAGCCUAUUUUGAUUCCUCGUCGGGGUCGUGUCUAAACAACCUUCUUAUAUACACAAAGCAAGCCACGCUGUUUAUCUUCCCACGGAAUGCGAAGAAACGUG